UGAUCAUAAAAUGUUAUUCGAAUUUGAUAUAGAAUUUGAAAGACGAACUGGUAAUCUUAAUGAAGUUGAAUUGGAAUCAUGGUCGAAAUAUGAUGAUAUUUUGGAAGCUAAUAAAAAUAAUGUUACAUUUAAUAAACGUUUGCAUAGUGAUGAUAAUGAUAAUGUCAAGGAAGGAAUUGCGCGCAAAUCAAUAUGCAAAAGAUGGAACAAAUUUGUCCUAUAUUUC